rnacentral:rRNA from 1 species
UACGUAGGGGGGCAAGCGUUGUCCGGAAUCAUUGGGCGUAAAGAGCGUGUAGGCGGCUUGGUAAGUCUCGCGUGAAAUCUUGCGGCUCAACCGCAAGCUGUCGUGAGAAACUACCUGGCUAGAAUCCGGAAGAGGAGAGCGGAAUUCCUGGUGUAGCGGUGGAAUGCGCAGAUAUCAGGAAGAACACCCGUGGCGAAGGCGGCUCUCUGGGGACGGUAUUGACGCUGAGACGCGAAAAGCGUGGGGAGCGAACAGG